GACAAAGUAGUUUAUCUAAAACCAUGAAUUGUGGUUUCAUAAAUGCUUCCGGCCUUUGUCC
rnacentral:tRNA from 1 species